rnacentral:rRNA from 1 species
GGACCCGCACAAGUAGUGGAGCAUGUGGUUUAAUUCGAAGAUACGCGCAGAACCUUACCUACUCUUGACAUACUUGGAAGCUCUUGUAAUGAGAGUGUGCCUUUUGGAGCCAAGAUACAGGUGCUGCAUGGCUGUCGUCAGCUCGUGUCGUGAGAUGUUCCGUUAAGUCGGAUAACGAGCGCAACCCUUACCCUUAUUUGCCAGCGAUUCGGUCGGGAACUAUAAGGGGACUGCCGGUGAUAAACCGGAGGAAGGUGAGGACGACGUCAAGUCAUCAUGGCCCUUACGAGUAGGGCUACACACGUGCUACAAUGGGGAAUACAGACGGACGCUAAGCCGCGAGGUGGUGCUAAUCCUAGAAAGUUCUUCGUAGUCCGGAUUGGAGUCUGCAACUCGACUCCAUGAAGUCGGAAUCGCUAGUAA